CAGAUAAGAGUUGGGGAAGUGGAGUCAGACAGGAGCCCUACCGAGGCUCCAGCCAUGCCCACAGCUACACGUGGGCCACAGACGGCUGAACCACACGGACAUACCAGCACAGGCACAAUGUCACCUGUCCCAUCUGGGAGAACAGGAACCCCUUCUCUCUCACGGUUGUACUCCCAGAAAGGAACUCAAUUCCCAGCACAUUGCAGAUGCGCACUAAUAUUUGGCUGCUGACACCACUCGAGGAAACCAGCCAGCCUUGGGGGCUCUGACGCUGGAUGCAGCCCUCCCAGGAAAUAGCUCCACUGGCUGCAGUAACUGGAGGCUCCUGAGCCACAUUUCAGCCUGCAGUGGGUGGUGGGUGGGCCCCAGCCCAACUGCUGCCCUGCCCCAGGAAGAAGCAGGCCCGUCAAAAUGUCUGACCCCAUCCGUCCCCCUAUCCCCUCCCCUGCCCCAGUCUGUCCUCAGUCCUGAUCCCCCUGCCCGCCCCACAGUGGCCCAGGCUGGCCAUGCCCUUCCCACCCUGCAGGCCAGCUGCUCAGAGCCAGGGGCUCACAGCCAGGGACGGAGGCUAUCCUAGCUCCCACCCGGGCUGGGCCCAAACCUGCCUCCUUUGGGCCUCAUUCUGAUUGGAAAAAAACAGCCUCUCUAGUCCCUGUCUCAGGAAGACGGCUUUUCAAACCAGAAUCUUUCUCACAAGUGUCUCCUCAGGACACAGCUCACUGUGUGGUUUCCUGAAGCUCUUUCUGGGUCAAGAUCUGAUCAGGAGUCCAAUGUGAAUAGGAGACAACAGAGAGCUGUCUUUGUACUUUGGCUCUGAGGAAGGUUUGUGGAAUGGACCGCGUGUGGCCUGAGAGAGCUCGCAUUUCAGGGAAUGCCUGGGCUUGAUGCCUGUUAUCUUGUUCAGUGCCUCUGAUAAAUUAAUAAACUGGAAUCUCACUC